AUGCUGCUGCGCCCAGGCUCUCUGCGUCCCCCCCGCGCCGCGCUCCGCCGCGAACCCCGAACGUGCGGAGGGAAGAAGGAGGGCGGGCGAGGGAGGCUCGCGGAGGGAGGAGCGCAGGGGGGAGGAGGAGGCAGAGAAGGAGGAGGAGGAGGAGGAGGAGGAGGAAGAGGAGGACCGCGCUGCCGGCGGAAUGGGAAGUUUGACAAAUCGCUCCAGAGGCCGGAGGAGGAGGGGGCGGGGAGGAGAGGCGGCCCUGCCCACCCCCCCCCCGCCCCCCCCCCCCGCGCCCCGUCCCCUGACGAGGAGCUGAGAGAACAGGCAAGCCGUCCUCGGAAACCCGUUUGGAUGAUGGCGGGCAGAACUGCAGCUCUGCAGAGAGAGACGCCAGCCAGCGUGCAGAAGUGGAAGACAGAAUCUUGCUCUAUCACUCAGCUGGAAUGCAGCGGCACCAUUCCAGCUUACUGCAGCCUCAAACUCCUGGCUCAAGGGAUCCUUCAGCCUCAGCCUCCUGAUUAGCUAGGACUACAGGAACUGACUCAGUGCAGGAAGACAGCUCCGACUCCCUAUGAUUUCAUCACUGACCUGACCAAUCAGCACUCCUGGCUCACUGGCCUCCCCCAUCCAUCAGGUUGUCCUUCCCUGCUUCCCAAAUGUUGGGGAGACUGAUUUGAGUAACAGUAAAACUCCAAAGAAAAAAGCCUGAAAGACAAAAGCAAAGCAAAACAAACAAACCAACAAAAUCCCUCCAGUCUCCCGCACAGCUGGCUCUAUGUCAAUUACUCUUUCUCUUCUGCAAUCCCCCUGUCUUGAUAAAUCGGCUCUGUCUAGGCGGCAGGCAAGGUGAAACCUUUGGGCGGUUGCCCUUCUGAUGGGAGAUAUCAGAAUAAUCAAUGAGAAGUUUGAAUUCAAAGACAUAUUGUAAGACACUUAUUAAGUCCGAUUGUGAAGAGACCUAUUUCAAACAGAAGGUAAAGUCAAAUCUCUCAUCUGGAAUUUGGAAUUUUCCUACCCUUAACAAAUGAAUAUUUCAACUAGGGAUAAGAUUUUUCAUAAGGGUAUAUGAAAGGUAUAUUUGCCAUUUGAGAUUAGAUGUAAGAAGAAUAAACUGAAAUUACAUUAUUGAUAAAGUUACUGCAAGAUCUUUUAACAUGAAUUGAGUCAUAAAGAAAAGUUUGCAAAAGAAAAUUCUUCUGAACCAAUGCUCAACCUAAAAAAUAAGAGCUUGUCUCAAGGGCUGAAAAUGGAAGAGAGUAACAAAUGAGAAUAAAAAUGAAACAAAAACAGAACUUUAGAAUAGAAUGGAAGUGUAUUUUAACAUCUCCGUCCUUACAAUUUUUUUUUUGAGACUGAGUCUUGCUUUAUUACCCAAGCUAGAGUGCACUGGAGUGAUCUUGGCUCACUGCAACCUCUGCCUUCUAGGUUCAAGUGAUUCUCAUGCCACAGCCUCCAAGCAGCUGGGACUACAGGUGCCCUCCAUGAUGCCUGGCUAAUUUUUGUAUUUUUAGUAGAGAUGAGGUUUCACCAUGUUGGUCAGGCUCGUCUUGAACUCCUGACCUCAAGUGAUCCACCUGCCUCAGUCUCCUGAAGUGUUGGGAUUACAAACAUGAGACAUGGCAUUCAGCCUCCAUUCUUUAAAAUUUUUUAAGUUUCCUCUUUUGUUCUUUUUAUGUCUUUGACAUUUUAAUUUACAAACAUAACUCAAGAACUUUAUUUCUUUUACAGAAAAGCAUCUUUCUGAACUCUUUAUCUAAAGCAAUCAGUUUCGGUAAACUGUAUUCUCCUAGAAAAUUGUCCAUUUCACCUACUUUUUCAAAUUAUUUGUACAGAGGUCUAAAAAGUAGUUUCAUUA
ensembl:lncRNA